UACGGAGGAUCCGAGCGUUAUCCGGAAUUACUGGGUGUAAAGGGAGCGCAGGCGGGAGAACAAGUUGGAAGUGAAAUCCAUGGGCUCAACCCAUGAACUGCUUUCAAAACUGUUUUUCUUGAGUAGUGCAGAGGUAGGCGGAAUUCCUAGUGUAGCGGUGAAAUGCGUAGAUAUUAGGAGGAACACCAGUGGCGAAGGCGGCCUGCUGGACUGUUACUGACACUGAGGCACGAAAGCGUGGGGAGCAAACAGG
rnacentral:rRNA from 1 species